GAUGAACGCUGGCGGCGUGCCUAAUACAUGCAAGUCGAGCGAACAGACGAGGAGCUUGCUCCUCUGACGUUAGCGGCGGACGGGUGAGUAACACGUGGAUAACCUACCUAUAAGACUGGGAUAACUUCGGGAAACCGGAGCUAAUACCGGAUAAUAUAUUGAACCGCAUGGUUCAAUAGUGAAAGACGGUUUUGCUGUCACUUAUAGAUGGAUCCGCGCCGCAUUAGCUAGUUGGUAAGGUAACGGCUUACCAAGGCAACGAUGCGUAGCCGACCUGAGAGGGUGAUCGGCCACGCUGGAACUGAGACACGGUCCAGACUCCUACGGGAGGCAGCAGUUGGGAAUCUUCCGCAAUGGGCGAAAGCCUGACGGAGCAACGCCGCGUGAGUGAUGAAGGUCUUCGGAUCGUAAAACUCUGUUAUUAGGGAAGAACAAAUGUGUAAGUAACUAUGCACGUCUUGACGGUACCUAAUCAGAAAGCCACGGCUAACUACGUG
rnacentral:rRNA from 1 species